CCGGCGGGGCGGUCAAGGCCCAUGUCCGGGAGGAGCUCGCAAAUGGGCGUGUCCCAAUCGCCAUCAGAAUAAGGGGUCCUCAUCCAUCGUGAGUGUAGUUGAACCAAUAGAAUGUUCUGCUUGAUAAUUAUUGCUCUCUAUUUCUUAACAGCCUUUCUUCAAUUUUCAUCCUCAGGUGCAGAAAAUAAAAAAAAAAUUCAAUUA